GGAGGGGGAUAACUACUGGAAACGGUGGCUAAUACCGCAUAACGUCGCAAGACCAAAGAGGGGGACCUUCGGGCCUCUUGCCAUCAGAUGUGCCCAGAUGGGAUUAGCUUGUUGGUGAGGUAACGGCUCACCAAGGCGACGAUCCCUAGCUGGUCUGAGAGGAUGACCAGCCACACUGGAACUGAGACACGGUCCAGACUCCUACGGGAGGCAGCAGUGGGGAAUAUUGCACAAUGGGCGCAAGCCUGAUGCAGCCAUGCCGCGUGUAUGAAGAAGGCCUUCGGGUUGUAAAGUACUUUCAGCGGGGAGGAAGGUGUUGUGGUUAAUAACCGCAGCAAUUGACGUUACCCGCAGAAGAAGCACCGGCUAACUCCGUGCCAGCAGCCGCGGUAAUACGGAGGGUGCAAGCGUUAAUCGGAAUUACUGGGCGUAAAGCGCACGCAGGCGGUCUGUCAAGUCGGAUGUGAAAUCCCCGGGCUCAACCUGGGAACUGCAUUCGAAACUGGCAGGCUUGAGUCUUGUAGAGGGGGGUAGAAUUCCAGGUGUAGCGGUGAAAUGCGUAGAGAUCUGGAGGAAUACCGGUGGCGAAGGCGGCCCCCUGGACAAAGACUGACGCUCAGGUGCGAAAGCGUGGGGAGCAAACAGGAUUAGAUACCCUGGUAGUCCACGCCGUAAACGAUGUCUACUUGGAGGUUGUGCCCUUGAGGCGUGGCUUCCGGAGCUAACGCGUUAAGUAGACCGCCUGGGGAGUACGGCCGCAAGGUUAAAACUCAAAUGAAUUGACGGGGGCCCGCACAAGCGGUGGAGCAUGUGGUUUAAUUCGAUGCAACGCGAAGAACCUUACCUGGUCUUGACAUCCACGGAAGUUUUCAGAGAUGAGAAUGUGCCUUCGGGAACCGUGAGACAGGUGCUGCAUGGCUGUCGUCAGCUCGUGUUGUGAAAUGUUGGGUUAAGUCCCGCAACGAGCGCAACCCUUAUCCUUUGUUGCCAGCGGUCCGGCCGGGAACUCAAAGGAGACUGCCAGUGAUAAACUGGAGGAAGGUGGGGAUGACGUCAAGUCAUCAUGGCCCUUACGACCAGGGCUACACACGUGCUACAAUGGCGCAUACAAAGAGAAGCGACCUCGCGAGAGCAAGCGGACCUCAUAAAGUGCGUCGUAGUCCGGAUUGGAGUCUGCAACUCGACUCCAUGAAGUCGGAAUCGCUAGUAAUCGUGGAUCAGAAUGCCACGGUGAAUACGUUCCCGGGCCUUGUACACACCGCCCGUCACACCAUGGGAGUGGGUUGCAAAAGAAGUAGGUAGCUUAACCUUCGGGAGGGCGCUUACCACUUUGUGAUUCAUGACUGGGGUGAAGUCGUAACAAGGUAACCGUAGGGGAACCUGCGGUUGGAUCACCUCCUUACCUUAAAGAAGC
rnacentral:rRNA from 1 species